UAUGAUGUGUUUUUUUUCUUCGUCAGGAUGAACGCUGGCGGCGUGCAUAAUACAUGCAAGUCGAACGCUUUGUCUUUAAUUGAUAUGAAGAGCUUGCUCUGAUGUGAUUUUAUCUGACAAAGAGUGGCGAACGGGUGAGUAACACGUGGGUAACCUACCUCUUAGCAGGGGAUAACAUUUGGAAACAAGUGCUAAUACCGUAUAAUACCAACAACCGCAUGGUUGUUGGUUGAAAGAUGGUUCUGCUAUCACUAAGAGAUGGACCCGCGGUGCAUUAGCUAGUUGGUAAGGUAACGGCUUACCAAGGCAAUGAUGCAUAGCCGAGUUGAGAGACUGAUCGGCCACAAUGGGACUGAGACACGGCCCAUACUCCUACGGGAGGCAGCAGUAGGGAAUCUUCCACAAUGGGCGCAAGCCUGAUGGAGCAACGCCGCGUGUGUGAUGAAGGGUUUCGGCUCGUAAAACACUGUUAUAAGAGAAGAACGGCACUGAGAGUAACUGUUCAGUGUGUGACGGUAUCUUACCAGAAAGGAACGGCUAAAUACGUGCCAGCAGCCGCGGUAAUACGUAUGUUCCAAGCGUUAUCCGGAUUUAUUGGGCGUAAAGCGAGCGCAGACGGUUAUUUAAGUCUGAAGUGAAAGCCCUCAGCUCAACUGAGGAAUGGCUUUGGAAACUGGAUGACUUGAGUGCAGUAGAGGAAAGUGGAACUCCAUGUGUAGCGGUGAAAUGCGUAGAUAUAUGGAAGAACACCAGUGGCGAAGGCGGCUUUCUGGACUGUAACUGACGUUGAGGCUCGAAAGUGUGGGUAGCAAACAGGAUUAGAUACCCUGGUAGUCCACACCGUAAACGAUGAGUGCUAGAUGUUCGAGGGUUUCCGCCCUUGAGUGUCGCAGCUAACGCAUUAAGCACUCCGC
rnacentral:rRNA from 1 species